UAAAUUUUCCAAUUCCACCUACUGUAGUAGCACACCCUUCAGCAGUAUCAGUUCCAUUUUUUUUAUCAGGACUAUUAUUGUUUUGUUAUGAAAAAAAUUUCUGACGUCUUGAAUCACUGAACUAUGUAAUGAAAAUAACUAAUAUGUCCCCCGUCGUAGAGUAAAUUGUUCAAAUUUUUGCAUACGUAACUCGUAAAUUAUGACGCACGAUCUAUGCCACUAAAAAGCGAUUUCAAUCGUAAAUUCACAAUAAAUUAUUCGUUAGCAAAUCGUUUUCGUUCCUAUUAAACAAAUUGUUGUGAUAAUAUAAUACAAAUUAUGACGUACUUUUGCUCGAUGGAUGCCGUUUAAUCUUUGUCGCGUUUCAUAGUUUCGCGGUUGACUUCCUAAUAAU